rnacentral:rRNA from 1 species
CUUAACACAUGCAGUCGAGCGAUGAAGUUUCUUCGGAAAUGGAUUAGCGGCGAACGGGUGAGGAACACGUGAAGAAUCUGCCCUCCACUUUGGGAUAACACAGGGAAACCUGUGCUAAUGCCGAAUAUUGAAACAUAAGUGGCAUCACUGAGUUUUGAAAGAAUUUCGGUGGAGGAUGACUUCGCGGCCUAUCAGCUAGUUGGUGAGGUAAUGGCUCACCAAGGCAACGACGGGUAGCCGGCCUGAGAGGGCGACCGGCCACACUGGGACUGAGACACGGCCCAGACUCCUACGGGAGGCAGCAGUGGGGAAUAUUGGGCAAUGGAGGAAACUCUGACCCAGCGACGCCGCGUGCGGGAUGAAGGCCUUCGGGUUGUAAACCGCUUUCAGUAGGGAAGAAGCGAAAGUGACGGUACCUACAAAAGAAGCACCGGCUAACUAUGUGCCAGCAGCCGCGGUAAUACAUAGGGUGCAAGCGUUGUCCGGAAUUAUUGGGCGUAAAGAGCUCGUAGGUCGUUUGUUACGUCGGAUGUGAAAACCUGAGGCUCAACCUCAGGCCUGCAUUCGAUACGGGCAAACUAGAGUUUGGUAGGGGAGACUGGAAUUCCUGGUGUAGCGGUGGAAUGCGCAGAUAUCAGGAGGAACACCAAUGGCGAAGGCAGGUCUCUGGGCCAAUACUGACACUGAGGAGCGAAAGUCUGGGGAGCGAACAGGAUUAGAUACCCUGGUAGUCCAGACCGUAAACGGUGGGCACUAGUUGUGGGGACCUUCCACGGUUUCUGCGACGCAGCUAACGCAUUAAGUGCCCCGCCUGGGGAGUACGAUCGCAAGAUUAAAACUCAAAGGAAUUGACGGGGCCCCGCACAAGCAGCGGAGCAUGCGGCUUAAUUCGACGCAACGCGAAGAACCUUACCAAGGCUUGACAUAUAGGGAAAAAGUGGAGAGAUGUCAUGUCCGCAAGGCCCUAUACAGGUGGUGCAUGGUUGUCGUCAGCUCGUGUCGUGAGAUGUUGGGUUAAGU